rnacentral:tRNA from 2 species
GCUGGUGUAGCUCAACAGGCGGAGCGGCGUCGUGAUAAGGCGCAGGGAGCUGGUUCGACCCCAGCCACCAGCACCA